AUUGAACGCUGGCGGCAUGCCUUACACAUGCAAGUCGAACGGCAGCGGACCUUCGGGUGCCGGCGAGUGGCGAACGGGUGAGUAAUGCAUCGGAACGUGCCAUUGAGUGGGGGAUAACGUAGCGAAAGUUACGCUAAUACCGCAUAUUCUGUGAGCAGGAAAGCAGGGGGACCGCAAGGCCUUGCGCUCUUUGAGCGGCCGAUGUCAGAUUAGCUAGUUGGUGAGGUAAAGGCUUACCAAGGCGACGAUCUGUAGCGGGUCUGAGAGGAUGAUCCGCCACACUGGAACUGAGACACGGUCCAGACUCCUACGGGAGGCAGCAGUGGGGAAUUUUGGACAAUGGGCGCAAGCCUGAUCCAGCCAUGCCGCGUGAGUGAAGAAGGCCUCGGUUGUAAAGCUCUUCGUGGGAGAAUAGCACAGGAUAAUACCUUGUGUAGAUGACGGUACCCGCAUAAGAAGACACCGGCUAACUUCGUGCCAGCA
rnacentral:rRNA from 1 species